AGUGAACGCUGGCGGUAGGCCUAACACAUGCAAGUCGAACGGCAGCACAGUAAGAGCUUGCUCUUACGGGUGGCGAGUGGCGGACGGGUGAGGAAUACAUCGGAAUCUACUUUUUCGUGGGGGAUAACGUAGGGAAACUUACGCUAAUACCGCAUACGACCUACGGGUGAAAGCAGGGGAUCUUCGGACCUUGCGCGAUUGAAUGAGCCGAUGUCGGAUUAGCUAGUUGGCGGGGUAAAGGCCCACCAAGGCGACGAUCCGUAGCUGGUCUGAGAGGAUGAUCAGCCACACUGGAACUGAGACACGGUCCAGACUCCUACGGGAGGCAGCAGUGGGGAAUAUUGGACAAUGGGCGCAAGCCUGAUCCAGCCAUACCGCGUGGGUGAAGAAGGCCUUCGGGUUGUAAAGCCCUUUUGUUGGGAAAGAAAAGCAGCAGGUUAAUACCCCGCUGUCCUGACGGUACCCAAAGAAUAAGCACCGGAUAACUUCGUG
rnacentral:rRNA from 1 species